CCGUGCUAGAUGGGGAGGUAGCGGUGCCCUGUAACCUGCAAUCCGCUAUAGCAGGGUUGAAUUCCUGUUAAAGGUCUUGUUAAUGUAGGGUCUGGACGUCUAUAUGUGGUGUUGACGGUCGGGUCCUUCGCAAUGGAAGCUCGUGAACCCGGUCAGGUUCGGAAGAAAGCAGCCGUAAGCGAGAUGUUCCAUGUGCCGAGGGGCAACCUAACCCGAGCUAACAGUAUUCGUUCCGCCUGGAUUUCAAGAUCAAUAACAGGUGCACG
rnacentral:SRP_RNA from 1 species